AUAAAAGGAAGCUGGAGAGGAAACUGCACCACAAAAACAUCAAAGAGGUGUGGAGAGGAAUGAAGACCAUCACUGGCUUCAAGGAGAAGAGAAGCCUGCCGUCAGGAGACGUGGAUAAGGCCAAUGAGUUCAAGAAGGAACUGCAGAUGCUG